rnacentral:rRNA from 1 species
UACGUAGGGUGCGAGCGUUGUCCGGAAUUAUUGGGCGUAAAGGGCUCGUAGGCGGUCUGUCGCGUCGAAAGUGAAAACUCAGGGCUUAACCCUGAGCCUGCUUCCGAUACGGGCAGACUAGAGGUAUGCAGGGGAGAACGGAAUUCCUGGUGUAGCGGUGAAAUGCGCAGAUAUCAGGAGGAACACCGGUGGCGAAGGCGGCUUGCUGGGCCAGUUCUGACGCUGAGGAGCGAAAGCGUGGGGAGCGAACAGG